rnacentral:lncRNA from 1 species
GGAGGAGACAGAACCGCCCAACUCAAUGUAUCUGGGACCCUGUCUUGGAGAAACAGUCUUCUACUUGUGCGGACAGAGCAGAACUCUUCCAGUUUGGGGGAAACACUCUGCCAAGGUCACGACAGAGGGGCCACUUCCCCAGGCUGGUCCUGCUGCAACUUUCCUUUCAAAUAAAUUUGCCUGACAAGCAGCGCAGAUCCAAGGAGCAGGGAGCUGACAUCGUGAUGAGAGAUUCUGGUGCAAGAUUGGGCAGAGGAGAGAUGGCUUGUGGGCAACACACACUUACAGCCCUCUCUCUGGGGGGCUGGGGAAGCUGUCUCCUGGGAAAGGCCAUGGAUGAGGAUUCCAUCACUGAAGAAUUGAAAAUAAAUUGCAGUUAGAAUGACUGAGAUUGCCCUUGCUCAUUACAGGCCCUGUGUAAAGAUAGUAAUACAACCAUUCUAAUUCGGGCAACCUAGAAUGUGAAUGUCACAGGAUCCAAAAAUGGCCACAAGAAACAAAAAGCCACAGCAAUCAAAGAAGAGGGUGUAGACCAGACCACAGCAACAAUCCAACAAUUCUUUUAUACAGAGAGAUUGAGGGUUAACAAGGGUAAUGCCACUGUGUAUCAUUUAUAUUAAUAGUUUG